rnacentral:rRNA from 1 species
GUGGGGAAUCUUAGACAAUGGGCGCAAGCCUGAUCUAGCCAUGCCGCGUGAGCGAUGAAGGCCUUAGGGUUGUAAAGCUCUUUCGUGGGGGAAGAUAAUGACUGUACCCCAAGAAGAAGCCCCGGCUAACUCCGUGCCAGCAGCCGCGGUAAUACGAAGGGGGCUAGCGUUGCUCGGAUUUACUGGGCGUAAAGGGCGCGUAGGCGGACAUUUAAGUCAGGGGUGAAAUCCCGGGGCUCAACCCCGGAACUGCCUUUGAAACUCCCAGUCUGUAGUUCGAGAGAGGUGAGUGGAAUUCCGAGUGUAGAGGUGAAAUUCGUAGAUAUUCGGAGGAACACCAGUGGCGAAGGCGGCUCACUGGCUCGAUACUGACGCUGAGGUGCGAAAGCGUGGGGAGCAAACAGGAUUAGAAACCCCAGUAGUCC